rnacentral:sRNA from 1 species
AUAAGGAUAGGAAUGAAGCUACGUUCAUUCUUUUUUUGGUUCAAAAAAGAGGAAUAAGGCUUGCCUGAGCCAAG